CCUACGGGAGGCAGCAGUGAGGAAUAUUGGUCAAUGGGAGAGAUCCUGAACCAGCCAAGCCGCGUGAGGGAAGACGGCCCUAUGGGUUGUAAACCUCUUUUGUCGGAGAACAAAACCCGGGACGUGUCCCGGACUGCGUGUAUCCGAUGAAAAAGCAUCGGCUAACUCCGUGUCAGCAGCCGCGGUCAUACGGAGGAUGCGAGCGUUAUCCGGAUUUAUUGGGUUUAAAGGGUGCGUAGGCGGUCCGUUAAGUCAGCGGUAAAAGUGCGGGGCUCAACCCCGUCGAGCCGUUGAAACUGGCAGACUUGAGUUGGCGAGAAGUACGCGGAAGGCGCGGUGUAGCGGUGAAAUGCAUAGAUAUCGCGCAGAACUCCGAUUGCGAAGGCAGCGUACCGGCGCCAGACUGACGCUGAGGCACGAAAGCGUGGGGAUCGAACAGGAUUAGAUACCCCGGUAGUC
rnacentral:rRNA from 1 species